GUGGGGAAUAUUGCACAAUGGGGGAAACCCUGAUGCAGCGACGCCGCGUGAGUGAAGAAGUAUUUCGGUACGUAAAGCUCUAUCAGCAAGGAAGAAAAUGACGGUACUUGACUAAGAAGCCCCGGCUAACUACGUGCCAGCAGCCGCGGUAAUACGUAGGGGGCAAGCGUUAUCCGGAUUUACUGGGUGUAAAGGGAGCGUAGACGGCAUGGUAAGUCAGAUGUGAAAGCCCGGGGCUCAACCCCGGGACUGCAUUUGAAACUAUCAGACUAGAGUGCAGGCGAGGGAAGUGGGAUUCCUAGUGUGGCGGUGAAAUGCGUAGAUAUUAGGAGGAACACCAGUGGCGAAGGCGGCUUACUGGACUGUAACUGACGUUGAGGCUCGAAAGCGUGGGGAGCAAACAGGAUUAGAAACCCUGGUAGUCC
rnacentral:rRNA from 1 species